rnacentral:rRNA from 1 species
UACGAAGGGGGCUAGCGUUGUUCGGAUUUACUGGGCGUAAAGCGCACGUAGGCGGAUUUUUAAGUCAGAGGUGAAAUCCCAAGGCUCAACCUUGGAACUGCCUUUGAUACUGGAAGUCUCGAGUCCGGGAGAGGUGAGUGGAACUGCGAGUGUAGAGGUGAAAUUCGUAGAUAUUCGCAAGAACACCAGUGGCGAAGGCGGCUCACUGGCCCGGUACUGACGCUGAGGUGCGAAAGCGUGGGGAGCAAACAGGAUUAGAUACCCCCGUAGUCC